GACGAACGCUGGCGGCGUGCCUAAUACAUGCAAGUCGAGCGGAACUGGGGGAGCUUGCUCCUUCCAGUUUAGCGGCGGACGGGUGAGCAACACGUGGGCAACCUGCCCUGCAGAUCGGGAUAACUCCGGGAAACCGGUGCUAAUACCGAAUAGUUUGGCGCCUCUCCUGAGGCGCCACGGAAAGACGGUUUCGGCUGUCACUGCAGGAUGGGCCCGCGGCGCAUUAGCUAGUUGGUGGGGUAACGGCCCACCAAGGCGACGAUGCGUAGCCGACUUGAGAGGGUGACCGGCCACACUGGGACUGAGACACGGCCCAGACUCCUACGGGAGGCAGCAGUAGGGAAUCUUCCGCAAUGGACGCAAGUCUGACGGAGCAACGCCGCGUGAGUGACGAAGGUUUUCGGAUCGUAAAACUCUGUUGUGAGGGAAGAACACGUACCAACUAACUAUUGGUACCUUGACGGUACCUCACCAGAAAGCCACGGCUAACUACGUGCCAGCCGCCGCAGUAA
rnacentral:rRNA from 1 species